rnacentral:rRNA from 1 species
UACGUAGGGUGCGAGCGUUGUCCGGAAUUAUUGGGCGUAAAGGGCUCGUAGGCGGUUUGUCGCGUCGGGAGUGAAAUCCACUGGCUUAACUGGUGGCUUGCUUUCGAUACGGGCAGACUGGAGGUAUGCAGGGGAGAACGGAAUUCCUGGUGUAGCGGUGAAAUGCGCAGAUAUCAGGAGGAACACCUAUGGCGAAGGCAGCUCGCUGGGACGUUACUGACGCUGAGACGCGAAAGCGUGGGGAGCAAACAGG